rnacentral:rRNA from 1 species
UUCCGUGGAAAGGUGUGGAGUUGGGUCUUAUGANCUAUGGAACUGGAAUGUUCUCACCUUGUUCACAUGACCUUGAAUUGAACCGUAGAGUGUAGGCGACCGAGGAUGUAUGAUCUGCUUUCAAUAGCGGAGGCAUCGUGUGAGGCUGACCUUUACCAAUUUCCUUUGAGAACGGGAUGUUCGCCUUGGAUAGGUAGAGGCCGAUGGCUGUUGACCACUGUGUCUGAUUGUAUGUUAGCGAGGUUAAUGCAAUUCUAUAGGCGGGGCGAUGGGAGUUGAAGGGGGCAUAGCUGUGGCUACGCUUACUGGAAAUGGAGCCAUUCGUCACGGACCGAGCGCACUUGUGCUGCCGGUGUAUUAUUUGAACUUUGAUCUCAAAUCAGACAAGACUACCCGCUGAACUUAAGCAUAUCAGUAAGCGGAGGAAAAGAAACUAACAAGGAUUCCCCUAGUAAUGGCGAAUGAAGAGGGAAUAGCUCAAAUUUGUAAUCUGGGAGGUUUCCUCCCCGAAUUGUAGUUUGUAGAGGCGUUUUCCGUGAUCCGGUGAGUAAAAGUCUCUUGGAAUAGAGCAUCAGAGAGGGUGAGAAUCCCGUCUUUGACUCAUCAGUGGUUACUUUGUGAUACGUUUUCUAAGAGUCGAGUUGUUUGGGAAUGCAGCUCAAAAUGGGUGGUAAAUUUCAUCUAAAGCUAAAUACAGGCAGGAGACCGAUAGCGAACAAGUACCGUGAGGGAAAGAUGAAAAGAACUUUGAAAAGAGAGUUNAAAGUACGUGAAAUUGUUAAAGGGGAACGCUUGAGAU